rnacentral:rRNA from 1 species
ACGGCUAACUACGUGCCAGCAGCCGCGGUAAUACGUAGGUGGCAAGCGUUAUCCGGAAUUAUUGGGCGUAAAGCGCGCGUAGGCGGUUUUUUAAGUCUGAUGUGAAAGCCCACGGCUCAACCGUGGAGGGUCAUUGGAAACUGGAAAACUUGAGUGCAGAAGAGGAAAGUGGAAUUCCAUGUGUAGCGGUGAAAUGCGCAGAGAUAUGGAGGAACACCAGUGGCGAAGGCGACUUUCUGGUCUGUAACUGACGCUGAUGUGCGAAAGCGUGGGGAUCAAACAGGAUUAGAUACCCUGGUAGUCCACGCCGUAAACGAUGAGUGCUAAGUGUUA